rnacentral:rRNA from 1 species
AUUGAACGCUGGCGGCAUGCCUAACACAUGCAAGUCGAACGGUAGCAGGAGCUAGCUUGCUAGCUUGCUGACGAGUGGCGGACGGGUGAGUAAUGCGUAGGAAUCUGCCCUUAAGUGGGGGAUAGCCCGGAGAAAUCCGGAUUAAUACCGCAUGUGCUCUACGGAGCAAAGCGGGCCUCUGUUUCAAGCUCGCGCUUGAGGAUGAGCCUACGUCGGAUUAGCUAGUUGGUGGGGUAAAGGCCUACCAAGGCGACGAUCCGUAGCUGGUCUGAGAGGAUGACCAGCCACACUGGGACUGAGACACGGCCCAGACUCCUACGGGAGGCUG